GGUCUAAUGGCCCAAUGGCAAGGCGCUUGACUACGAUUUUCGAGUAAUCAAGAGAUUCCAGGUUCGACCCCUGGUUAGAUCA